UACGUAGGUGGCAAGCGUUGUCCGGAUUUACUGGGCGUAAAGAGCGCGCAGGCGGUCGGUUACGUCGCCUGUGAAAGCCCCCGGCUCAACUGGGGAGGGUCAUUCGAUACUGUUCGACUCGAAGGCAGGAGAGGGAAGUGGAAUUCCCGGUGUAGUGGUGAAAUGCGUAGAUAUCGGGAGGAACACCAGUGGCGAAGGCGACUUCCUGGCCUGUACUUGACGCUGAGGCGCGAAAGCGAGGGGAGCAAACGGG
rnacentral:rRNA from 1 species